rnacentral:tRNA from 2 species
GGGAGAUUGGCUCAACUGGAUAGAGCGUCGGCCUCCGGAGCCGAAGGUUGUGGGUUCGAAUCCCGUAUCUCCCA